UAUUUUAAUAGCUUAUAAAGAGUGCAGUGUUGAAGGUACUGAGGAGAUUAAAUUUCUUAAAAUAC
rnacentral:tRNA from 1 species